rnacentral:lncRNA from 1 species
GUUUAAUAGUCCCAGCUUUGAUUGAUGCCUUUUUGUAUCAAUUUAUCCCAGAAGUAAUUUCAAACUUCCAUAAUUUAAACUAUUACCUGUUCCAACUGGUAUAACUGUCGCAAAGAAUUCUUUUAUACAUUAUAACUAUCAUCUGCUUCAAAGAGAUCCGCCUUUCCAGUUUUCAAGAUGCCAAAAAUUAUGGCAUUUAGAUCUUUCUUUGUCUUUGGUGUCCUGUCCAUGAUAUAUCAUGUACUGUUUUAAGGUGGGAGCAAACUGUAUCAUUUCCAGCUGAAUCAUCAAAACUACUCACGGAUGGCUUUAAAUUCCUCAUAUUCCACAUUUCCAGCAAAUAGUACAAUAAUUUCAGUCUUAUAAAUAAUCCUCAUUCCCGUACAGAAUUUGUAACUGCCUUUAUUAAACCAAUGUGUCUAGGAAUAGAUCACCCGUACAUGUAUGCAACAAUCUCUUGAUGAGGGAAAUAAGUUUCCCAACACCACAAAGUUAUAUACUUUUGUUAAAUCGUAUCAAAAUGGUCAAUUAUGUAAAAAAUAUGCAGCAGAAGUUCAUUUAACCAAACAGCUGAUUACAACCUUUAUCGGUUUUUAAAUUGAAGAGCAUCACUUUUGGUAUGUCUAAACACCAAAAAGUCGAAAACAAACUGCUGUUUCCCGACAGUUUACUGCAUUAGAACAUUUACAUAUCAACAGAUACCAGAGAUGUUAUAAUAAUUUCCUGCUGUAUUCAUGGUCACCUUUUAGAAUAUAUAUCAAUUGUUAUAUUGUA